ACGGAGGGUGCAAGCGUUGUUCGGAAUUAUUGGGCGUAAAGCGCGUGUAGGCGGUUUGUUAAGUCUGGUGUGAAAGCCCUGGGCUCAACCUGGGAAGUGCAUUGGAUACUGGCAAACUUGAGUACGGGAGAGGAUAGUGGAAUUUCGAGUGUAGGGGUGAAAUCCGUAGAUAUUCGAAGGAACACCGGUGGCGAAGGCGGCUAUCUGGACCGAUACUGACGCUGAGACGCGAAAGCGUGGGGAGCAAACAGGA
rnacentral:rRNA from 1 species